CUUCUACCAUUCAAAUGUUUUUGAAUGAAAUGUUUUUAUUAGAUAAUGUUUCUUAUUUAUUACAUCAUUAAAUAAAAUAUUAUCUAGAAUUUUUUCAGAUUUAUCUGGAGAGGGAAGGAUGCCUAAAACACCCAUCUCGUGCACACAUGUGGAGAAAGAAUUAACACAAGGAGUUCCAUCUUCAUGCUAUCUUUUCUCUCUGCC
rnacentral:lncRNA from 1 species